CCCUUAGAUGUCCUGGGCCGCACGCGCGUUACACUGAUGCAUUCAACGAGCUUAUAACCUUGGCCGAGAGGCCUGGGCAAUCUUGUUAACGUGCAUCGUGAUAGGGAUAGAUUAUUGAAAUUAUUAAUCUUGAACGAGGAAUUCCUAGUAAACGCAGAUCAUCAAACUGCAUUGAUUACGUCCCUGCCCUUUGUACACACCGCCCGUCGCACCUACCGAUUGGAUGGUCCGGUGAAGCCUCGGGAUUGUGGUUCUUGCCGCUUUAUUGUGGCGUGACCGCGAGAACUUGUCUAAACCUUAUCAUCUAGAGGAAGGUGAAGUCGUAACA
rnacentral:rRNA from 1 species